GAUGAACGCUGGCGGCGUGCCUAAUACAUGCAAGUCGAACGCAUAGCGAAAGGUGCUUGCACCUUUCAAGUGAGUGGCGAACGGGUGAGUAACACGUGGACAACCUGCCUCAAGGCUGGGGAUAACAUUUGGAAACAGAUGCUACUACCGAAUAAAACUUAGUGUCGCAUGACACAAAGUUAAAAGGCGCUUCGGCGUCACCUAGAGAUGGAUCCGCGGUGCAUUAGUUAGUUGGUGGGGUAAAGGCCUACCAAGACAAUGAUGCAUAGCCGAGUUGAGAGACUGAUCGGCCACAUUGGGACUGAGACACGGCCCAAACUCCUACGGGAGGCUGCAGUAGGGAAUCUUCUACAAUGGGCGAAAGCCUGAUGGAGCAACGCCGCGUGUGUGAUGAAGGCGUUCGGGUCGUAAAGCACUGUUGUAUGGGAAGAACAGCUAGAAUAGGAAAUGAUUUUAGUUUGACGGUACCAUACCAGAAAGGGACGGCUAAAUACGUG
rnacentral:rRNA from 1 species